UACGUAGGGUGCAAGCGUUGUCCGGAAUUAUUGGGCGUAAAGAGCUCGUAGGCGGUGUGUCGCGUCGGCCGUGAAAACCUGCAGCUUAACUGUGGGCUUGCGGUCGAUACGGGCAGACUGGAGGUAUGCAGGGGAGAACGGAAUUCCUGGUGUAGCGGUGAAAUGCGCAGAUAUCAGGAGGAACACCGGUGGCGAAGGCGGGUCUCUGGGCCGAUACUGACGCUGAGGAGCGAAAGCGUGGGGAGCGAACAGG
rnacentral:rRNA from 1 species